rnacentral:tRNA from 1 species
GGGGUUGUGGCUCUGGUAGAGUACUCGCCUAGCAUGUGUGAGGCACUGGGUUCGAUCCUCAGCACCACA